AUGGAGGUCGAGAUCAAGCUCCGUCUCCCCGACGCGGCUGCACACCGGCGCUCCUCCUUCCUCGCGCCCCGCCUGCUCCGCACCGACGCCCCAGCGCGGCCCCUCGCCGCCNNNNNNNNNNNNNNNNNNGCCGCCACCGCCGCCCAGCGGGACGUCCGCCUCUACGGCACCGACGACCGCGACCCCUCCCGCGCCGUCCUCACGCUCAAGCGCCGCCCGCGCAUCGACGCCGGCGUCAGCCGCGUUGAGGAGGUCAUGGAGCCCCUCGACCCCGCCCUCGCCCUCACCUGCGUCGACAACCCCGCCCGUCUCGACGCGGUCGACUCCCCCAUCGUCCGGCUCGUCUCCGACGAGUACGGCGUCGGCAGGGACAAAGCGCCGUUCGUCUGCCUUGGCGGCUUCCGGAACACCCGCGGUGUGUAUGAGCUCGAGGAGGGCGAGGGGCAAGGGCUCGUGCUAGAGCUCGACGAGACACACUUCGAUUUCGGCACAAACUACGAGCUGGAGUGCGAGACCGCUGAGCCCGACCAGGCCAAGGAGGUCCUGGAGCGGCUGCUCACCGUGGCUGGGGUGCCGUAUGAGUACUCCCGGAGCAAUAAGUUCGCGUGCUUCAUGGCCGGGAAGCUGCUUCCGUGA
rnacentral:rRNA from 1 species